ensembl:lncRNA
GGGGGUGAUAACAUGGAGAGUAGGUGAGGGGGGUGAUAACAUGGAGAGUAGGUGAGGGGGGUGAUAACAUGGAGAGUAGGUGAGGGGGGUGAUAACAUGGAGAGUAGGUGAGGGGGGUGAUAACAUGGAGAGUAGGUGAGGGGGGUGAUAACAUGGAGAGUAGGUGAGGGGGGGUGAUAACAUGGAGAGUAGGUGAGGGGGGGUGAUAACAUGGAGAGUAGGUGAGGGGGAAGGGUGAUAACAUGGAGAGUAGGUGAGGGGGGGUGAUAACAUGGAGAGUAGGUGAGGGGGGUGAGAAGGGUGAUAACAUGGAGAGUAGGUGAGGGGGGGAGAAGGGUGAUAACAUGGAGAGUAGGUGAGGGGGGGGUGAUAACAUGGAGAGUAGGUGAGGGGGGAGAAGGGUGAUAACAUGGAGAGUAG